AUUAAUUACAUCAGCCUUUAGCAUACUGCCCCCUGCAAACCUACAGCAAAGUCAGAGAGAACAUUCCCAGAACUGUGGUUCCUUCUCAAGCUGAUCCCGUGACAGCAUUGGUAAAGAGCACCUGAGUGUUACGUUUGCUUCUGGUCCUUAUGCACGCUCUGCUGGCGCUGUUGGGCUCUGUGAAGAUGAGAGUGUUGGACGAUUCCUGGCACAACACUGCCAGCAUGCCACUACCCCUGCAAAGCUCCUGAGCCAGCUGUGGAGGGUCAUCCUAGUCAGGUGAGUAAUGACUGGAAAUCUUUGUUCAGAAGUUCCAGUAUCUUCAAUCAAAUUCCUGUGCUGGGAGAUCAGAAGGUGCCCCGAAGGAGCAACAUCACAGCCAGAUACAUUUUCUGAGAACUGUAACUUCUUUACUGAGAACUGCAGGACUGUAAGUUUACUUCCACACAGAGCCAGCAUGUCAUCGCCCUUCAACAGGAAUCUUCCGUUAGACUGACACCUACAAGCUUCUUUUCACUUGUCAGUCACAUCUUAUCUCAGAGCUUACCACGUCCCUCAUUCCUUGUGUCUCACAUAAUCUCCUUGUUCCAGUAGUUUGUUUUUUGUUUUUUAUUUUGUAUGAAUGGCAAAGUGUAAACAUGCCAUUGUUUUAUUUAAUGACUAAACCCCUAGCCUUCCCAUCCCACCUCCAGAACAUUGUCUUGAUUUGGUACAGUGUUAAAAGAAAAAUGUUUUCAUACUGCCUAACUUCUUCCGACGGUACCUUAUUUCUUUGAAUGCCAAACUCCUUUUGAAGGUUUUUAGUGGGCUCUUAAUAGAAAAGUGGCUAAAAUCUCAUUUUACCACCUUGAAUUGAUAUCUGACAUCCAUCAUGGAAAACUGUGGGACUUUCUAAAAUGUUUCCAGGAUACAAGAACAUUUUCAUAAUCAUGCAAUUAAAAAAACAAAUGAACGAAAAAACAAUUUAUUGAAGAAGAGGAAUCUUCAAAUGAAUUCUGAGCCUACUUCCACAAAAUAUAUUCCUGAGUGAUCUUUGCAUCCAGUAAAAUUGCCAAUAUGAAGGAUAACUGCUGUCAACAAAGCUUGUAGAAAACAGACACUUAGAUGCCAUUGAAAACUUUAUCAUGAACUUUCUUAUUAUUUGCUUGCAAAAUAAUUUGUUACAGUGACAUUGAGUUCAUGCCAUAGGACAGGUCUUUCUGCUCCUUGUAUCCAUUAAGGAUCUGAGACUUCAGAAUUACGAAUAGAAAGAUGAAAACAAACAGGAACUCAGUAGCUUUCCCACAAUUCAAAAUUCGUAUCUCUGAAAAUGGCUGUACCUUGUAAAUCAUGAACUUGAGAAAGUCAGUAAAUAUUCAGUAGAAUAAUCACAUCCAGCGUAAUCUGAUUCUGAAGAGAUGCAACAAGGAACCAGUCAAAUGAAAAUCUGAACUCACAGCAAGGGAACCUAACAGAAUAGUGAAGGGAAUCACACAGGCAACCAGAUAUCUCUGUGCUGUUACUUAUAGAUAGACAGGAGUACUCGUGAUGGUUUAUUCAGUUAAUGUCUCCCAAAGUAAACAUUACAAUAUUUUCUUAAAGCCUUCUUUAUUCUGUAGCUUGUAACAAUCUUUUUUAAAGAACUCUUGAGAACUUCCCGUAAAUAUGGCAUUUCUUUCCAGGAAAAAUGAAGAAAAAGGUAUCUGUUACAAAUACUACCACCGACAGACUUAACUGUCCAGACCAACUCUGAUGUUCUUUCCCAGAGUUAUACAGCUUCUAUCUUCCUGUGACUGUUUCUGUGUUAGAUGUGUCAGCACACCUUUUCAUGAAAAAGAACUAAUAAGGAACAAAGGAUGAGAAGUAGAAUUUUCAGUUGUUGCUCAGAUUCCCUCUCAUUCUUUUGUCUUGAGAUUAUGUUUCCAGAAAUUGUGGUGGUAGUACAACUGCAGUGUAACUGCUCUGCACAUUUGCAUUGUCGCUGUCAUUCGGAAUCUGAGCUGGCACUCAAGGUAUGAGCAUCAAAUGUUGUGCUAUUUAAAAAUUUUAAAGAAAGUCAGGACAAUCUCAUCUCAGAAUGUUUAGUAAUAUGUCAAACAUAGACUUAGCAAAUAGGUUAUGCUUUUUUUCGGUGAUAAGCAUUACUUGCACAAGUUUGAGAAAUACUUAAACAAUCUUUAUUUCAGCCUUGUGCAACUUGACUACCAAAGUAACAAAAUAAAAACAAAAAACCUGUAGUUGAAGCAAAAAUACUAAAUGUUACUUACUUACUUGAUAAUAUAACACAAUCCGUUAUUUAAAAAAUGUUUUUUUACCACAACUGUGUCAUCUUUAUGGUAUUUUACUUACCAUAAUUCAUCUACUGAUUUUAGACAUACAACAGAACUUCUAGCCCCAUGUAUCAGUCUAGAGUUAUCAACAGUCAACUGCAAAAACCAGUGUUCAAAUAAAUUAUUGCUGGCUAUUAGCAUUUUAAUCCGCUACAAUUGAUGACUCAGUGACAAGAGAUGACAAAAGAAAUGUUAGACCUCAGCACAUACAACACCUCAAUCUAGUUACAGCCUGCUUUGCCCCUGACACUGCUUAUUCUAUGCUGGCAGAGCGAGAGAGGAAACAGACAUGCAGGAAGGCUGAGAGAGACAAUCAUUCUUACUUUCUUUUUCGCUAUCCAUGCCCAUCAAAUAGAUGUAUUGUCAAAUAACCCUACUACGAAUUUGAGAAGAAGCACAUAGAUACAGAAACAACCUCUUGCACAAGACGAUAUCAUUUCUGAUUCAAAGAGGAUGAGGUUCCUAAAACAAGAGGUCACUCAGCCUCCCUAGGUUCACUGCCAAGCCUUUUUAGAUCAGAGACUGCUGGUCCUACUGACUGGUGCCAAAUUAUGUGUGGUGGGUCUUCUUGAUAUACUCAACUGCCUGCUAGGGACUGAGUUGAGACCAAUAGACUAAUUUUAUGUAGGAGUUCAGGUUUAAGGAAUUUUAAAACAAUAUUAACAUACUUCAUGUAUUUUCUCUCCACAUUUCCACGAAAAAGAAAGCCGUUGAGAGGCCAAAGCAGAACAGUUUCUGUAACAUAAGGUAAUCUUAAAUAUGAUAAAUGUAGGAUCUGAGUAUGACUUGUUGUCAAUUACAAAAUUUAUUCCAUAUCAAAUGAAACAAGUUUAAUAAGCCACUUAAGUGUUUUAAGGUAUGCUUCCUACCAACAUGAAUUAUGUAUCUAUCUGCAGCCAAAUGUAUGUGUUCUAUUCCUCUGAAUAUUAAAUACAAAAACUAUGUUUAAAUAAUGUGAAAGGUCUGAUUUAAAGCAACAAAAGCCAAUAAAUUCAAAGCAUAUGCUGGAAGUCCAUCUUUAACUCAAACAAAUUGUUUCAAACAGGUAUAAUGGCAUGAAUUACACCCUUCUAACAUUUAUGUUUCUACUUCCAUAUUUGAAUUCCCUUGGCUUUGUCAGCCUAAGUCUCUCUACGAGUGUCUUUUAAAAAGUUCUUAAAUGAAAUUUACUGGAUUUUCUUUUUUUUUUUUUGGGGGGGGGGGGGGGGGGGGG
ensembl:lncRNA